AGCAGCCGCGGUAAUUCCAGCUCCAAUAGCGUAUAUUAAAGUUGUUGCAGUUAAAAAGCUCGUAGUUGAAUUUCGGGGUCAGUAGGUUGGUCGUGCCACCGGUACGUACUGGUCUCACUGAUUCCUCCUUCCUGAUGAGCUGUAAUGCCAUUAAUUUGGUGUUGCAGGGAAUCUGGACUGUUACUUUGAAAAAUUAGAGUAGUUUAAAGCAGGCUAACGCUUGAAUACAUUAGCAUGGAAUAAUGAAAUAGGACGUUCGAUCCUAUUUUGUUGGUUUCUAGGAUUGACGUAAUGAUUAAUAGGGAUAGUUGGGGGCAUUAGUAUUCAAUUGUCAGAGGUGAAAUUCUUGGAUUUAUUGAAGACUAACUACUGCGAAAGCAUUUGCCAAGGAUGUUUUCAUUAAUACAAGAACGAAAGUUAGGGGAUCGAAGACGAUCAGAUACCGUCGUAGUCUUAACCAUAAACUACGACCGACUAGGAAUCAGACGAUGUUAAUUUUUAAUGUACUCGUUUGGCUACC
rnacentral:rRNA from 1 species